rnacentral:rRNA from 1 species
UUUAUGGAGAGUUUGAUCCUGGCUCAGGAUGAACGCUGGCGGCGUGCCUAAUACAUGCAAGUCGAGCGAACGGACGAGAAGCUUGCUUCUCUGAUGUUAGCGGCGGACGGGUGAGUAACACGUGGAUAACCUACCUAUAAGACUGGGAUAACUUCGGGAAACCGGAGCUAAUACCGGAUAAUAUUUUGAACCGCAUGGUUCAAAAGUGAAAGACGGUCUUGCUGUCACUUAUAGAUGGAUCCGCGCUGCAUUAGCUAGUUGGUAAGGUAACGGCUUACCAAGGCAACGAUGCAUAGCCGACCUGAGAGGGUGAUCGGCCACACUGGAACUGAGACACGGUCCAGACUCCUACGGGAGGCAGCAGUAGGGAAUCUUCCGCAAUGGGCGAAAGCCUGACGGAGCAACGCCGCGUGAGUGAUGAAGGUCUUCGGAUCGUAAAACUCUGUUAUUAGGGAAGAACAUAUGUGUAAGUAACUGUGCACAUCUUGACGGUACCUAAUCAGAAAGCCACGGCUAACUACGUGCCAGCAGCCGCGGUAAUACGUAGGUGGCAAGCGUUAUCCGGAAUUAUUGGGCGUAAAGCGCGCGUAGACGGUUUUUUAAGUCUGAUGUGAAAGCCCACGGCUCAACCGUGGAGGGUCAUUGGAAACUGGAAAACUUGAGUGCAGAAGAGGAAAGUGGAAUUCCAUGUGUAGCGGUGAAAUGCGCAGAGAUAUGGAGGAACACCAGUGGCGAAGGCGACUUUCUGGUCUGUAACUGACGCUGAUGUGCGAAAGCGUGGGGAUCAAACAGGAUUAGAUACCCUGGUAGUCCACGCUGUAAACGAUGAGUGCUAAGUGUUAGGGGGUUUCCGCCCCUUAGUGCUGCAGCUAACGCAUUAAGCACUCCGCCUGGGGAGUACGACCGCAAGGUUGAAACUCAAAGGAAUUGACGGGGACCCGCACAAGCGGUGGAGCAUGUGGUUUAAUUCGAAGCAACGCGAAGAACCUUACCAAAUCUUGACAUCCUUUGACAACUCUAGAGAUAGAGCUUUCCCCUUCGGGGGACAAAGUGACAGGUGGUGCAUGGUUGUCGUCAGCUCGUGUCGUGAGAUGUUGGGUUAAGUCCCGCAACGAGCGCAACCCUUAAGCUUAGUUGCCAUCAUUAAGUUGGGCACUCUAAGUUGACUGCCGGUGACAAACCGGAGGAAGGUGGGGAUGACGUCAAAUCAUCAUGCCCCUUAUGAUUUGGGCUACACACGUGCUACAAUGGACAAUACAAAGGGCAGCGAAACCGCGAGGUCAAGCAAAUCCCAUAAAGUUGUUCUCAGUUCGGAUUGUAGUCUGCAACUCGACUACAUGAAGCUGGAAUCGCUAGUAAUCGUAGAUCAGCAUGCUACGGUGAAUACGUUCCCGGGUCUUGUACACACCGCCCGUCACACCACGAGAGUUUGUAACACCCGAAGCCGGUGGAGUAACCUUUUAGGAGCUACCCGUCGAAGGUGGGACAAAUGAUUGGGGUGAAGUCGUAACAAGGUAGCCGUAUCGGAAGGUGCGGCUGGAUCACCUCCUUU